rnacentral:rRNA from 1 species
GAUAUCAAGAUCGCAUGAUCUUGAUAUUAAAGAAUUUCGGUUAUCGAUGGGGAUGCGUUCCAUUAGUUAGUUGGCGGGGUAACGGCCCACCAAGACGACGAUGGAUAGGGGUUCUGAGAGGAAGGUCCCCCACAUUGGAACUGAGACACGGUCCAAACUCCUACGGAAGGCAGCAG